rnacentral:rRNA from 1 species
GUGUCAGCCGCCGCGGUAAAACGUAGGAGGCGAGCGUUGUCCGGAUUUACUGGGCGUAAAGAGCGCGUAGGCGGCUUUGUGUGUCAGGUGUGAAAUCUCCCGGCUUAACUGGGAGGGGUCACUUGAGACUACAGGGCUAGAGUGCAGUAGAGGGAGACAGAAUUCCCGGUGUAGUGGUGAAAUGCGUAGAUAUCGGGAGGAAUACCAGUGGCGAAGGCGGUCUCCUGGGCUGUUACUGACGCUGAGGUGCGAAAGCGUGGGGAGCGAACUGAAUUAGAUACUCAGGUAGUCCACGCUGUAAACGAUGGAUACUAGGUGUGGGGGGUAUCGACCCCCUCCGUGCCGUAGCUAACGCUAUAAGUAUCCCGCCUGGGGAGUACGGCCGCAAGGCUAAA